rnacentral:rRNA from 1 species
GAUGAACGCUGGCGGCGUGCCUAAUACAUGCAAGUCGAGCGAACAGACGAGGAGCUUGCUCCUUCGACGUUAGCGGCGGACGGGUGAGUAACACGUAGGUAACCUACCUAUAAGACUGGGAUAACUUCGGGAAACCGGAGCUAAUACCGGAUAAUAUUUCGAACCGCAUGGUUCGAUAGUGAAAGAUGGCCUUGCUAUCACUUAUAGAUGGACCUGCGCCGUAUUAGCUAGUUGGUAAGGUAACGGCUUACCAAGGCAACGAUACGUAGCCGACCUGAGAGAGUGGUCGGCCAAGCUGGAACUGAGACACGGUCCGAACUCUUACGGGGGGCAGCAUUAGGAAAUCUACCACAAUGGGCGAAAGCCUGACGGAGCAACGCCGCAUGAGUAAUGAAGGUCUUCGGAUCGUAAAACUCUGUUAUUAGGGAAGAACAAACGUGUAAGUAACUAUGCACGUCUUGACGGUACCUAAUCAGAAAGCCAGGGCUAACUACGUG